rfam:Triticum aestivum genome assembly, contig: Triticum_aestivum_CS42_TGACv1_scaffold_147969_2BS
GUAAUACUCCCUCCGUCUGGAAAUACUUGUCCUAAAAAUGGAUAAAAUAAAUGUAUAUAUAACUAAAAUAAGUCUAGAUACAUCCAUUUCAAGGACAAGUAUUUCCGGUCAGAGGGGGUAUGUA